rnacentral:pre_miRNA from 1 species
CGGGGGAGGCCGGAUCCUGGGCUGUGUCCCAGUGCCCUGUGCUCCGGGGCCUGCGCUGUUGGAUUCACACUCCCAGCUGGGCAGCCACCU